GUACAAUAGGUUAUAGCUUGCACUUAACUCAGCUGCUGCAAUAUGCUAUAAUCAAUUUCUCUUAUAUAGCUGCUGCAAUCUGCGAUAAUAAAGUGCAAGAAAUUCUGGUAAGAGUUGAGCCCUUCUAUAACUGUAUGUACUCAGACAAAGGUUUCCAGAUUGGUUGAUCAGAAACAAUGGGAUAGUAGUGAAUUUGAGUUGCAAGAAUGGUCAGGAAAAGAUCUGGAGGUGUAGUUUGAAUGAUCUUUCGAUAUCCCAGCUUACAUUGAUAAAAAAAGCAUACAUUUGAUGUUUUUUUGUGUUGAGUUUCCUCUUUU
rnacentral:misc_RNA from 1 species